rnacentral:rRNA from 1 species
AACGAACGCUGGCGGCAUGCCUAACACAUGCAAGUCGAACGAGACCUUCGGGUCUAGUGGCGCACGGGUGCGUAACGCGUGGGAACCUGCCCUUAGGUUCGGAAUAACUCCCCGAAAGGGGUGCUAAUACCGGAUAAUGUCUUCGGACCAAAGAUUUAUCGCCUUUGGAUGGGCCCGCGUUGGAUUAGCUAGUUGGUAGGGUAAAAGCCUACCAAGGCGACGAUCCAUAGCUGGUCUGAGAGGAUGAUCAGCCACACUGGGACUGAGACACGGCCCAGACUCCUACGGGAAGCAGCAGUGGUGAAUAUUGGACAAUGGGCGAAAGCCUGAUCCAGCAAUGCCGCGUGAGUGAUGAAGGCCUUAGGGUUGUAAAGCUCUUUUACCCGGGAUGAUAAUGACAGUACCGGGAGAAUAAGCUCCGGCUAACUCCGUG